CGCGACAAAGGCAAACCCGUCGAAAGACGGCGACGCAAAGCUACGAGGCUACCGCAGUUGCAACGCGCCACGCCAGUCGAGCCGCCGAAC
rnacentral:ncRNA from 1 species